AGUGAACGCUGGCGGUAGGCCUAACACAUGCAAGUCGAACGGCAGCACAAGAGAGCUUGCUCUCUGGGUGGCGAGUGGCGGACGGGUGAGGAAUACAUCGGAAUCUACUCUGUCGUGGGGGAUAACGUAGGGAAACUUACGCUAAUACCGCAUACGACCUACGGGUGAAAGCAGGGGACCUUCGGGCCUUGCGCGAUUGAAUGAGCCGAUGUCGGAUUAGCUAGUUGGCGGGGUAAAGGCCCACCAAGGCGACGAUCCGUAGCAGGUCUGAGAGGAUGAUCAGCCACACUGGAACUGAGACACGGUCCAGACUCCUACGGGAGGCAGCAGUGGGGAAUAUUGGACAAUGGGCGCAAGCCUGAUCCAGCCAUACCGCGUGGGUGAAGAAGGCCUUCGGGUUGUAAAGCCCUUUUGUUGGGAAAGAAAUCCAGCUGGCUAAUACCCGGUUGGGAUGACGGUACCCAAAGAAUAAGCACCGGCUAACUUCGUGCCAGCCGCCGCCGUAA
rnacentral:rRNA from 1 species